rnacentral:misc_RNA from 1 species
GAUGAAGAACGUAGCGAAACGCGAUAAGUAAUGUGAAUUGCAGAAUCCAGUGAAUCAUCGAAUCUUUGAACGCACAUUGCGCCCGCCAGCAUUCUGGCGGGCAUGCCUGUUCGAGCGUCAUUUCAACCCUCGACCUCCCCUUGGGGAGGUCGGCGUUGGGGACCGGCAGCACACCGCCGGCCCUGAAAUGGAGUGGCGGCCCGUCCGCGGCGACCUCUGCGCAGUAAUACAGCGCGCACCGGGACCCCGACGCGGCCACGCCGUAAAACACCCAACUUCUGAACGUUGACCUCGAAUCAGGUAGGACUACCCGCUGAACUUAAGCAUAUCAAUAAGCGGAGGA